UUUGUAAUUAUCAAAAAAUAAUAAGAAAAUAAAUAUUGAGGUUUUUCUUCCAGUACUCGGGUUUUCACGUAAUUUGGAGUUUUUGUUGGUUUAUUGAUUCAAUAUGGUAUCAGAACAAGGUAAUAACAAAACCCUAGACACCGGUACAGGUGAAGCCCAGACAGAAACAGAAGCUGCCACUGCCGCCAUUGUCGAGAUCGCUGCCUUCGUGGACGCCGCCACCAUGGAAAAACUUCGCCAUCCGAUUCAUAGGAUGUCGGUGGUCACUUUGAGACCACCCUCGGAGCAGUCUACACAGCCCACAUCGGGAAUGCCCCUCACGCGCUGCAAGUACUCACCUGCGCGCUGCCACUGCCAGCAUGUCUGCCCACACACCGCCGCCAAAUGCCUCCACGAACCAGCCUAUUUUCUCCCCUCUGUCAUCCCAAGUCCAGUCGCCAUACCCUUCUAACAAUCUGCACCUCCACGCGCCGCCACCUUAUCAUACCUUACAACAUCUACAUAUUCAUGGUUCCAGGAUUGAUCGAGGGUUAUACUCAAUCUGAUUUUGAAGUUGGUGGAAUCCUCGACACAGUCUAAAUCAAUCGAUCUACCAAUGUAUUCAAAGAACUCGGUAACUUCACUCCCUAAUUUAUCCUUGAAUUAUAUAACUGACUCUCUGACACCAUCUAUAGGGAAUUUUCCAGGGGAGAAAUCAAAUGGCCAGAAUUAUUUUUCGUGGUCCCAAUAUAUCAAGAUGUUUCUCGACGGUCGCCACUAGUUUGGUUUUUUGACAUGAGAGAUUGUCCGUCCACCGGGUGAUACCUUGUAAUGAUUCUGAAAAGGGGAAGAUUCAUUCAUUCGAUCUAUGUUGGUUAAUAGCAUGGAACCACAGAUCGGCAAGCAUCUAGUGUACGCAGCCACUUUAAAGGAUUUAUGGGAUACAACUCAAAUCGUUAGAAAGCCUCUUGACUGUAUACACUAAGAAAACAGGUCCACAAUUGCAAGCAAGGGACUCUGAACGUGACCUCCUAUUUCAAUAAGCCCUCCCUUCCCUAGCAAGAGAUGAAUUUGUGCAGGGAGGCAGUUUGGGACACGCUGAAUGAUGGUAUACAGUAUGCUAAACUUGAGGAAGCUUACCGUAUUUAUGAUUUCCUUGCUCGACUUAAUCCUAAAUUUGACAUUGAAUGUAUACUCGAACAGAGACCACUUCCCUCCUUAGUGGAAGCGUGUUAUGAAGUUUGUCUUGAAGAAGAACGUAUGAAUGCUAUGAGUAUAUUGACUACUCUUGCCACUGACUUUGCUGUCGUUGGUGCUCGAUCCUCAACCCGUGAUAAUAAGUAGAAUAGUGGGAAGCCAAUCCCUGUGUCUAAGCACAAGAAACAGUGGCACACCAAGGAUCAGUGUUGGAAACUCCACAAUCGUCCCCCGGGAGGUAAGAAACGUUCCUCCAUUGAGAAACAGAACUCAGGGUGUGCCUAUAUUAAUGAGAAUACCAGCACCUCUAAGUCAACUGACCCUACUGCAAGCAAGAACAGCCCUCCUCAGUGAUCCAUUGCUCUGUCAGGUUCUGCAAAGCACUGUUUCUUAGACCCCUUGUGCCGAUAAUGAGAAAAUUCUGAUAGUCGAUGGCUCUUUAACCCCGAUUGCAAGCAAAGGAUAAAUAGUUCCCUAUGACAAACUCUCUCUCCAAAAUGUUUUGCAUAUGCCUAAGCUUUCUUAUAAUUUAUUAUGAGUAUGAUCCCUCUCUGAACAUUCCCAUUGCGCUGAGAAAAGGUACUAGGUCUUGUACAAAAUAUCUCAUGUGUAACUAUGUUUCCUAUGAUAAUCUCUAUCCACAGUUCAACUUUUACAGUAAGCAUUGAUUCUACCAUAACACCAAAAAGUAUUCACACUGUUUUAGAGUGUCCUAAAUGGAAGAAUGCUAUCAUGGAAGAGAUGAAGGCUCUUGAAAAGAAUAAAACUGGAGAGAAUUGCGCUCCACCCAUGAGACAUAAAACUUUGGGAUGCAAAUGGGCGUUCACUCUCAAAUACAAAGAAGAUGGAACACUUGACAGACACAAAGCAGGGAUAGUUGCAAAGGGGUUUACUCAAACCUAUGGUGUUGACUAUAUAUAAACUUUUUCCCUAGUUGCUAAGUUGAAUACUCUGUUAGAGUCCUAUUGUUUGUUGUUGUAAACAAAGAUUGGCCUCUAUACCAGCUGAGAGUUAAGAAUGUUUUUCUAAAUGGAGACCUAGUGGAGGAAGUUUACAUGAGCCCCCACCUGGAUUUGAAGCCCAGUUUGGGCAUCAGGUAUGUAAAUUUUAUAAAUCCUUAUAUGGUUUGAAACAAUCACUAGAGCAUGGUUUGACAGAUUCAUUACCUUUGUCAAGUCCCAAGAGUACAACCAGAGGCAUUUUGAUCAUACUUUAUUUACAACAGUUUCCAAGACCGGAAAGAUUGCAAUUCUGAUUGUGUAUAUUGACGACAUCGUUUUAUUUGGAGAUGAUCAAACAGAAAUAAGCCAACUGAAACACAAGAUGGGUGAUGAAUUUGAAAUCAAGGAUUUAGGAAAUUUGAAAUAUUUCCUUGGAAUGGAGGUGGCCAAAUCUAAAGAAGACAUCUCUUAGAGAAAAUACACUACUAAUCGAGACAGGUAUGCUAGGAUGUUGUCCUGCUGACACCCCUAUUGAAUUCAAUUGUGAACUAAGAAAUUCAGGUGAUGAAGUUCGAGUUGAUAAGGAAUAAUAUCAGUGCCUUGUAUGUAAGUUGAUUUAUUUGUAUCAUACUCGUCCAUAUAUUUCCUUUGUUGUGAGUAUUGUCAACCAGUUUAUGCAGGCUCCCUAUGAGGAACACACGGAGGAUGUCAACAUAAUCUUGAGAUACUUGAAAACAUCUAGUAAAGUAUUGAUGUUUAGAAAGACAGAUAGAAAAAUCAUUGAGGCCUAUACUAAUUCAGACUGGGCAGAAUCUGUUGUUGACAAGAAAUUUACCUCUGAUUAUUGUACCUUUGUAUGGGGUAAUCUUGUAACUUGAUGAAGUAAGAAGCAAAGUGUCGUAGCUAGGAGCAGUGUUGAGGCCAAAUAGAGGGCUAUGAGUUUGGGGAUACAUGAGAAAAUUUGGCUCCAGAAAGUCUUGUCUGAUUUUCAUUAGGAGUGUGAGACAUCAAUGAAGCUAUUAUGUGAUAACAAAGUUUCCAUUAGCAUCGCCAACAAUCCAAUUCAACAUUAUAGAACCAAACAAUGUUGAGAUUGAUUGACAUUUCAUCAAAGAAAGACUUGACAAUAGGAGCAUAUGCAUUCUGAACAUUCCUUUGAGCCAACAGGUUGCUAAUGUUCUUUGCAAGGGGUUUCUCAAACUAAACUUCGACUUUGUGUUAGCAAGUUGGGCCUCAGAUAUUUACGUCCCAACUUGAGGGGGAGUGUUAGAGUUAGUAAUCUUGGCCCACAGGGAGAUUUGCCAUCUUUCCUUUUUUAUCUCACUGUAUUAUUCUAUUUAUUCUCUCUUGUACCUUUUGUAAUUAUCAGAAAAUAAUAAGAAAAGAAAUAUCAUGACUUUUCUCCUAGUGCUCGGGUUUCCACGUAA